GCCUGCGGGACCCUGCCCGCCCUCUCCAGCGUACCGGAAAUGACGCUACGUUACGUCACUUCCCUCUAUCGUGCUCCCCAUCACCAUAGUGACAAAUAAACAAUAACAACCGGCAGCUAUAGAUAAAAAUGCACAUAGAUUAGCCAGCAGAAUAUCCUGCCAAUCUAAUGUAACACAGCAUGACUCAAUAUUACAAGUGGCACUGAUAGCAAAUACCAUAUUAAACUGCUCAGACAGCAGGUUAUCAUGUGGGUUAUAUUACAUGCCACAGUCCACGGCUCUUAAUGAGUGCCGUGUUUGAACGCAAUCAGAAACCACAGUGAUAAUACAUUAUGCAAUCAGAAACCAUAGUAAUAAUAGAUUAAUAAGAUUAAUGUCAAACAUAACAUGUUUAGGCCGAUGGUACAAUCAAAAAAUGUCAAUGAAGCCAAGCACACUAAGAUAUCGGACAGUCCAGCCCGGUAGGAAAUUAAAACCUGCGCAACAGCGAUUCCGCCCGGGAGGAAAUGGAGUCGCUUCUUUUCUGUGCAUAUAUUUUCCUGGACACCAAGACGUGAGGAUGAUGACGACGAGAAGAGAAAAAAAUAAUUGAAAACAGUGCAACGGAAUUAUUCGGCAAAGCGUAAUAAGAAGACCUAUUAGUAUUCCAGCUGGCGGAGAAGGUGCCUGUAAAGAUAAAUGUGUUUUCGUUUUCCUCCUAAAAAGGGAAAAUGUAUUUGCUACACUGAGACCUCAAUACAAUAGCUGCCUAAUGGAUAGAAAAUUACGUAGUCUGCCCCCCACUUAUUCCCCCUUAAUAACACCUUUGCACACCGGAAUAGGCCAGAAGGUGGUGCCGACUGCAUCAUCUUGAUAUCAUGGUAGACCUGUUAAAUGAUUUGGGAAAGUUUAGGUCCUGUCCCCUGCUGCCUUUUACAUUUGUGCCGAAUUAUAAAGGAUUUACAUUCACUUCA